rnacentral:rRNA from 1 species
UAACGAAUAUUCCGCAAUGCGCGAAAGCGUGACGGAGCAAUGCCGCGUGAAGGACGAAGCCCCUAGGGGUGUAAACUUCUGUCAGGGGUCAGGAAUCCUGACCAACCCCAAAGGAAGAGCCGGCUAACUCUGUGCCAGCAGCCGCGGUAAUACAGAGGGCUCGAGCGUUAAUCGGAAUCACUGGGCUUAAAGGGUGCGCAGGCGGACCAGUAAGUAUCUUGUGAAAUACCACGGCUCAACCGUGGAACUGCUUGGUAAACUACUGGUCUUGAGCUCGGCAGGGGCCGCCGGAACUCUAGGUGGAGCGGUGAAAUGCGUAGAUAUCUAGAGGAACGCCAAUGGUGAAGACAGGCGGCUGGGCCGACGCUGACGCUCAGGCACGAAAGCGUGGGUAGCGAACGGGAUUAGAUACCCCCGUAGUCC